ensembl:lncRNA
UGAAAACAAAAAAACCAAACCAAACCCUUAAACGUGUCUCUCUUGAUACUUAUUCUAGUCAGCCAACAAUGUCCCUAGCCUGUGACUGGCUGAUACGAAGAACCACACCUUCCAUUUCCCAGCCUGGCUGCCCCUCCCCCCACCUGGUUGGAAACCCAGACAAGUGAUUACAUACAUACAAGCAGGUAGUGGAGUUGCUUCAAAAUAUUUAAUACGUGUUAGACACGUAAAGUUACAUUUUUAUACAAAAAUCAAUACAGAGGAGGAGAAAAUACUGUACAAAAACCUUAUCAGCUCCCCCAACCUUUAUACAACAAAGACUGGAGUCACCGUAUCUACAAAACCAUAAGGUCCUUCCACUUAGAGCUCGUCUGUAAACUUUGUUUCAUUAAACACUUUUUAAAAGCACUGUGUAGUAAGUUCUGAGCUAGAGCUUUUAAAAAUAUAUCUUUUUCUCUAUAAACUCCAUAUUUCCAAGCUUGAACUCUUCUGUGAAGUUCAGCAAGCUUUUUUUCCCCUGUGGGGAAUUGAAGGUCCCUUAAUGUUCUGCUUUCCCAGAGUAAUCACAGGGUAGAAGCGCUUCUUCUGUGCCAGAGAAAGAUGGGGAGGAAGAAAAAUAAUACAAGUCUCUACUCCAGACGAACUCCCUCUAGUCUGGGGAAAUCCUGUGAGAAAACGCCACUCCGCGCCCCGGUGUGGUCCUAGCUUUCAGGAGAGAGGUUGUGUGUAAAGUCCCUCUCUUCCCCAAGAUCGAUCGGGGAACUCCCCUGUCUCGAACCUUUCAGCAGCUUCCUUUUCUGUGCUGCUGGCAGAGGAAAGUCCCUGUUUGCACCCCCAAAGUCUCGAGAACGGGGAAGGGGUGGUGCAUUCCAGAACCACAGAAUCGUCUCAACACAAGACAAACUUACACAUGGACACACACUGAUACAAAAGUUAACGAUCGAUCGUCCUCUUCCAAUAAGCCUCCCACUCUAGGUCUCAGGAUGAGACUCGAGAGCCACGGCCCAGCCGGGCUGCCCCUUCCGGGGCGAUGUGCUGCCCGGCAGCAACCAGUCUCCCUUACGCGCCCAGCGCCUACGGUCUCGGCUCGUCCUCGCGGCCGGGAAAGGCCCCGGCCGCACUUCGGGGACUCCCGCUGCUCAAGCUCCAGCCGCUCAGGUCCCGGGGGAUCAGAAGGCCACGAUGGCUGUGCUCCAGGGGCUCAUGUCUCUCAGAACCGGCUUGUCGCAGCAGAUCUGCCCGGGCUCGGAGGCUUCCGGGCCGCCCUCCUCCGCCUCCUCUUCCUCCCGCCCGGCCGCAGGGCUUUUCCGUAAGAGUCCCGAGAAGCUAGACCCGAAGAUGCUGAUGAGGUUUGCCACGUUCCCGGUUUCCAUCUCCUCGUCGGUGUCCUCCUCGUCGGUGACCGGCUGCUCCUCGGAGUUCCGGCGCGGCUUCUUGAGAGGGGUAGAGCCGGGCGCGGAGCAGCCCGCGCGGCCGCCACCCACUCCCGCUGCGCCACGCUUCCUGGGACACGGGGCGGCUGGCGCCGGGGACCCGUUCUCUGAGGACCGCUCCUCCACGGCCGACGGACAGCCACACGGGCGGCGCAGUGCCCGGGGCCCCUCGGAGCACGCGUCCGAGCUGCCUCCAGAAGGCGCCACGCGCGGACGUUCCACGCGGCCCCAAGCAGCUGCCGCCGAGUCCUCCUCUCCGCCCCGGAGAGCGUCCUCCGCUCCGGACACCGCGGCCACCGGUUCUGGGCUUCCCGCUCCCGGCGUGUGGCACACCGAGGGACGCUGAGGCUGAGGCUGAGGCUGCGGCUCGGGCUCCGGCCAGGCGGCGCGGGCGACCGGUGGGGGCGGCUCUCCCCAGCCAGAGGGUGGCCCGGCUACCGGCUCUCCCGGCUGCUGUGGCGGCGGUACCGCCGGGGUCCCCGCAGGGCCGGCCAGGUAGAGGCCAGGGCAGGGGUCACUCAAGUAGACUUGGCGGGCGCUGCGCAGCACUAACGACACCAAGAGGUUCUUGUGCAGCUUGAUGCCGCCGCGCUGGACCCGCGAGUUGUAGAUCUUGCCCAGGGAGAUGCUGACGAUACGGUGAGCCUCCAGCUUGAACUCCAUCCUGCCUCCUCUUCCAGACGACGGGGUGAACGCCUGCUUGCCUUCUAAAGCUGAGAGAGGCGCGAGAGGCAGGAACAGGCUCGCCUCUGUGGUUGUACCCUCAGCGUGUGAAAGCUCGGUGGAGAAAAGAUCUAGUGAUGCGUAGUUCCCUCCGCCUUUUCUCCUCAGUCAACAGACCCGUUCUGGGCCAGCCUCUAAACUGAGCGGUGCGGGGCCACACCGCGGUUUAUAUAUGCUCCGCGAACGCCAAUCACAAAGCGCCGCCAACCGUUCUGGGCGGGCCGAUGCGCCUCGUGCGCCACCCCCGGCCAAUCAGAGGCAGAGGAGGAGCCCCGGGGCCGGUUCAAACGUUAGUCCCGCGGAGCAAGCUCUUAAAGGGGGAGAUCGCAGGCGACCCUUUGAUCAAGUGCGGUGGGAUUUGUGUUCUGAGCGGGUGAUGUGGUAGAACGAAGCACACAGAACUGUUUGUAGUUAGGAAUUCCGCUUUGUGAAGUACAUUGGCACACUGUAAGGAACCGAACUAUUGGGGCUUUCAUCCGUUUAGUGUGUUGGAAUCUACUGCACAAUAAAGUUCGGUUCCUUUCAUGAGCAAUUUCCAGCUGCUUACAGCUGGUACAGCUGUAACUUCUGGUCAUUCUUGGCAGAAACGGAAGCGAUGGCAAUAUAUGACAACUACCACGAUAUAUUUGAGAUAUUAUUUUGGAGUUAGUCCCUUUCCCAUUAGCGUUACACUCAGCAUUUGACUACAAACAAAAAGGGGAGUUUAUAGAAAUUUCCAAGCUUCUGCUUUAUCAAGGAACAGAAUUCAGGCACAAAGUUAUUGGUUCUCGUCCAAAGCUGGCAUAUUUCAUUCCAUUCCUCAGAUUCUCAGUUGUCAGUAUAGAUUAAAUGAAGAUGUUACCUACUUUUCCACAAUGGUUUUGUCUGUUUAAAAAAAUGCACAGGCCCAGUCCAUCACAGGGGCUUAGGAAAUGACAGCUAACUUGCAAUUAUGCCUUUGCAAUUACUGUCAGGAUUUCCUCUAAUCCUGAGCCAACGGAGUGGACUCUUCAAAAUCCAUCUCCCAAGGGACCAAUCACUUCUGAUCAGGAAGCUUCCACAGCCAAAAAGAAUAUCGAACAGAGUGCCGGCUGCUUCUACCCAACACUGCUUGCAGACAGGCGAAAUAGAGAAAGGAUAUGAUUAACCUUGACAUUCCAGAAGGCUUGCUCCUCCUCCUCUGUCCUCUUCUACCCUAGUGUUUCAGACGGUUUGCACGGAGUUACAAUCAGCACAUGAGGGUUAAAUUAAUGAAGCGAGAG